AUACGCGAUGGGGAGCGAGGAGGGGUUGGGUAAUUCACCGUUACCUGCUAAUCAAGCGGUGCCGAAGUGCUAUGGUGUGACCAAGCCGAUUUCGAUGGCGGGGCCUUGUGACACUGACGUGCAAAGAAACAAGGAGCUAGAAAAGUUUCUGGUUGACGCUGGCUUGUACGAAAGCAAAGAGGAAUCUGCCAAGAGAGAAGAGGUUCUUUCCCGGAUAGGACAGAUUGUGAAAGACUGGGUAAAACAACUUACUCGCAUUAAAGGUUAUACAGAUCAAAUGGUGGAGGAUGCAAAU
rnacentral:misc_RNA from 1 species